UACGUAGGGGGCAAGCGUUGUCCGGAAUUAUUGGGCGUAAAGGGUAGGUAGGUGGUCUCAUUUGUCUGGGGUGAAAGCCUUGAGCUUAACUCAAGAAGUGCCCCAGAAACGGUGAGACUGGAGUCCUGGAGAGGGUCGUGGAAUUCCCGGUGUAGCGGUGAAAUGCGUAGAGAUCGGGAGGAACACCAGAGGCGAAAGCGGCGACCUGGACAGGUACUGACACUGAGGAGCGAAAGCGUGGGGAGCAAACAGG
rnacentral:rRNA from 1 species